GUGUUAAGGGAGAGUGGAGGUGAUCGCCUGGCCCUCCUCAGGGGCCACUAGGCUGGCGAUAGAAGGAAGCAGGUCGGGGGGAAAGUGGCCAGGAGCAAAUGAAGGAGGGCAGGUGGUUGGAAGAGACGAUGUGGUCCUCACCGUUGCCAAGGCUCCGGGCAGGUUUGGAGGAGGAUUCUCCAGCCUCGGCAAUUCGCUAGCUCACCUGUGUCACCUCAAGGCAGCUGUCAGGGGAAUCGCCUUCUCCCUGGGUGAGAUCUGUAAACUGUGGUAGGGGAGCAGGCCUGAGCUGGGAGCUCCCAUCAGUGAGGCUGACUCCCCAGAGUCGUGGGACAGACCGUUCAGGCUGGUGCUGGUCGCUAAGCAGCGGCUCUGUGCCGCUGAACCACAACCCCAGGUCUCUGUCCCGGUUUUGCUGGAGGCCUGGUGGUGAGCGGGCGGUCGGGGAGCGGGGAGAGUUCUUUGGUGGAAGCAGCACCACCGGGCUGAGCUGUGCGGAGGCAGCCUGGCAGGGCCCGUCCGGGGCUGGAGACUGGAGAGGAGGGUGGAGGUGGGCGGCUGAGUGGAGCAGGAGCGUUUCCUGGAGGCCUUUCCCUCCCCCGGCCUCUCAUGCUGGCGGGCCUGGAGCCUGGCCUCCCUUGGGUGGGCCCUUUGCUAGCAGUGGCCGGCCUGUCAUCCUUGGGACCUUGCGGCCGGCGCUCUCAGCUGGAGGGAGGCGGGGGCCCCUGUCCCUGGGCCCUGGCAGAGUGCCUGAUACACAGCUUUUGGUGACCACUAGAGAGAGCUGAAAGGCAGGAAUCAGCAUGGCCUUUGAAGCACAGCCUCCUCAGCCCCUUUGGGAUCUAGAUGGAUCCAGGUGCUUUCCUAAAUACCCAAGGUGUCUUGGACAAGGACAGGAUUACUUUCCUUUCCAAGAGGCUGUCCUGCAGCUGGAUGCCAGGUAUGUGUGCCUGUCUUUACCAACAGUAGAACCAUGGGGUCUAGUGUAGUGAUGGUGAAACUUUCAGAGCUUGCAAUGAUAACAGCCCGCCAUGGCAUGCGUGCCAUAGGUUUGCUACCACUGGUCUAGUGGGUAGCUCUUCAGAACUGGAGACUGUGUACCUCUUUUCUCCUCCCAGGCCUAUACUCAUGCAUCUAACCCAGGGAGAAAAGAGGUCACUUCCUGUGAUGGAGUGUCUUGAGAAACUCAAGAGAAAGAAGAAGUUCAUCCAUUCUCUUGUGCUCGUGACCUGUGACACUCAAUUUGCAAAAUGAGAUGGACUACAAGUUGAUGAAGAUAUGUUUCAUUUAUAAUGUUCAAGAUUAUUUGAUAUUCUAAGCAGUUAAACGGGGUCAAGUAAGAGUAAGAAAAAGGGGCAGGAGCAGUAGUGGGAGGGGAAAGUUAGCAGAAACACUAGGUUCCAGCCCAGCUCGGCCUGUACCUAGUUAUGCUUAUCUGUGCCUUGGAAGUCCUGCUGCACAAUGGAAAGCAAAAGCUGUUGGACGCUACCUCUUUCCUAGCACCUGUGAUGGGCAGCGCAUGAGCUACAUGGCUAGACAGGGGCUGUUGCCUCCCUGCAAGAUAAAGUCCUGGCUUAGUGCCAGAUUAUCCUGAUUUCCCAAACCCUGUGGCAGGGAAGAUACACCUGUGAGGGUCAUGCAAAACGGGCUGGGAGAGCACAUAUACUCCUAUGCAAAAAACCACCCUGUACUUGCUGUUAUUUGCACAGGGAUUCCAAACUUCAUAAUUGGCUUAUCUCAAUCACAGCCUCUGGGUUUGUACUUGGUCAAGCCACUUAUCUCUGAGCCUUGGUUCUGUCAUCCAUCAUUUCGGGUAAGGUGGAAUAUAAGGGUGCUGCAGAAGAGUUUAAUUCUAUCACGGCUGAGAAGCCUUUCCCUCAGUUUCUUCAUUAGUGCAACGAGAAGUUGGAUUUGGUAAGACCAUAUGGACACACCCAGCUCUGACAAAGCAGAUUCGCCAGCUCUUGCAAACUACCAGAGUUAACCACAAUAGGAAAAAUUAAUCAUGUCCUUAUUCAAGACACCUGAGGAUACUUAGGAACCUACUCAGGGCCAUGAGAGACAGAGAAGCCCCUGCUACGACUACAGGCAGGGCUCCUUGGAAGUGGUUUCAGGGCUUUCCUGGGGGAUGAGUCCAAACUCAGCCACCUUCCAGGUGGAUCAUUUGUGCCUACUUGCUUUCUGCGGUUGCUUUGACCCUUUACAGUUCUGCACUUGCCACAUUGCUAAGCCCAACUGUAAGAGCAAAAAGCAUGAGCUGAGUCAGGAAGGCAGCAUUGUUGUCAGGUGCACGAGAUUGACAACUUGAGUAGUAAUCUGUGCGCAAACCAGACAAGAGCCCAGUUCACAGAAAGUGGCUUCUGUAGCACCCAUAUGGCUACUGCCUACAGUAUAAGGAAAACCUUGUCACUGUCAGAGGGAUUACAACCUGGUCAUACAAAUAUUUUUUUGACCCUCACCUAUAAGGUGACAUAGGAAAGGGAAGAAUUACUGUCAUUGAACAAGUGAGGAAAAGUGAGGACUAGAGAGACAAAGCGAGAUCUGGCAUUUUCUGGCACUUUUCUGGGCAUCCAUUGAUAGGAUGGUAUUUGAAAACCAGUGCUUGAUGCCAAGUAGCUCUAGAAGUGUGAGAUAUGAUAGACCUGGGCCUGGAACUAUAGGAGAGACCCUGGGCUACAGAGUACUACAGAUUUCUAAGAGUUCCCAGCAGAGUGUAGGGUAGCAAUGAAGUCCUUACUGUGGUAGUUGAAACUAGUGUUUCCUGGGUUUCAUGUAACUUUUGGCCUCCAUUUGACCUUGGUUGAGUCACAGGAGGAGCUCUCAGGUGGAGAGCCAUUAUUAACAUUUAAAAAAACUUCCUGAAAAACAUUCUAAAGGUUCCAUCUACACUUUACAGUAUACCCUCGAUAACUGCUCCAUUUUGGUGAAGGAGGUACAACAAGAAUGACUGCCUUUGUUUGAAAGCAAAGGAUACCGAUCUCAGAGAGUUUGAUUGACUCCUCCAUGUUGCACAAAGCUGAUGCUAGAGCUGUGGUCUAGGGGACUACGGUGGCAUACCCUACCGUUCUAUUCCAAGGCCUGAGGUUAACCUGAGGCAGACUGUUUUUCCUCACAGUAGGCAGGAAGUAAC